rnacentral:rRNA from 1 species
GUGAACGCUGGCGGUAGGCCUAACACAUGCAAGUCGCACGGCAGCACAGUAAGAGCUUGCUCUUACGGGUGGCGAGUGGCGGACGGGUGAGGAAUACAUCGGAAUCUACUUUUUCGUGGGGGAUAACGUAGGGAAACUUACGCUAAUACCGCAUACGACCUACGGGUGAAAGCAGGGGAUCUUCGGACCUUGCGCGAUUGAAUGAGCCGACGUCGGAUUAGCUAGUUGGCGGGGUAAAGGCCCACCAAGGCGACGAUCCGUAGCUGGUCUGAGAGGAUGAUCAGCCACACUGGAACUGAGACACGGUCCAGACUCCUACGGGAGGCAGCAGUGGGGAAUAUUGGACAAUGGGCGCAAGCCUGAUCCAGCCAUACCGCGUGGGUGAAGAAGGCCUUCGGGUUGUAAAGCCCUUUUGUUGGGAAAGAAAAGCAGCAGGUUAAUACCCCGCUGUUCUGACGGUACCCAAAGAAUAAGCACCGGCUAACUUCGUG